AGAGUUUGAUCAUGGCUCAGGAUGAACGCUAGCGGCAGGCCUAAUACAUGCAAGUCGAGGGGCAGCACAGGUAGCAAUACUGGGUGGCGACCGGCAAACAGGUGCGGAACACGUACGCAACCUUCCUUUAAGCGGGGAAUAGCCCAGAGAAAUUUGGAUUAAUACCCCAUAAGAAUGUGGAUUGGCAUCAGUCAGCAUUUAAAGAUUUAUCACUUAAAGAUGGGCGUGCGUCUGAUUAGGUAGUUGGUGAGGUAACGGCUCACCAAGCCGACGAUCAGUAACUGGCGUGAGAGCGCGACCAGUCACACGGGCACUGAGACACGGGCCCGACUCCUACGGGAGGCAGCAGUAAGGAAUAUUGGUCAAUGGACGGAAGUCUGAACCAGCCAUGCCGCGUGGAGGAUGAAGGCCCUCUGGGUUGUAAACUUCUUUUAUCUGGGACGAAACACUUCCUUUCUAGGGAGCUUGACGGUACCAGGUGAAUAAGCACCGGCUAACUCCGUGCCAGCAGCCGCGGUAAUAC
rnacentral:rRNA from 1 species